rnacentral:tRNA from 1 species
CAUUAGAUGGCCGAUAACAAGCAAUGGAAUUUUAAACCAUAUUAUAGUAUAUUUUUACUUCUAAUG